AAUAAAAAUCUAUUGUUUCUAUUUGGUGAUUGAAUUCUUGGAGAUGUGCUCUACUUGAUUCAAGAAUGUUUUCAGAUAACUUGGUGUAUCCUUAAGUGAUUUGAACUCUGCCUUGUUAGCUUGCUUACAUGGCUAAUUCCAAGCAUAGAUAAAUUGUAAUUGAGCAGGUCCAAGUGGAGGGAAAUGGAUACAGAAGAUACUCGUAGCAGAUAUCAAUUGUUUGGUUUUGAUGAAGUUGAACUGUAGUAAUAAUUGUUGUAUAUUUGAUAGUCUGUUGUUUAGUGACAGUAUGAAUCUUUAUGCAGAAGAAGGUUGUUUAUGACUUUAUGUAGUGUGAGUUUUAAUUUGA